rnacentral:rRNA from 1 species
GUCUACGUCCAUGCCACCCUGAACAUGCCUGAUCUUGUCUGCUCUCAGAAGCUAAGUAGGGUCGGGCCUGGUUAGUACAUGGAUGGGAGACCACCUAGGAAAACCAGGUGCUGUAGGCU